CUGCCUCCCUCAUACCAGGAGAGGAGCAGGCAUAGAAAGGCACACACAGAACUGUCUCAUAUUCCAAGUAUGGAUUUACUUCCAGGAUGAGAAGGUAGCGCAUAUUCAAUGCUGAAGCCUGUCUUGCACAGGUAACCGGGGAUGACAGUGACACAUCCACUGAUGGAAUUUUAUCCUAAGGCAGUGAGGAUGCUGACUUUGUUUCAGACAUGGGAGAUUGUUCAGAGCAAGAAGACCAUGCGUCUAUAGAAACUUCAUCCAGCUCAGAUGAGGAAGAGUUGGUGUCACAAGCAGAAGUGAUGCCAACACUUCCAGUGGGGAAGGGAAGAGGACAAGCCCAGGGCUGCCGUGGAAGACCAAGGAGAGCUACAGCAGGACAUGGAGCAGAAUCACUGCCACCACCCCCAGAAAACAUUGCAGAUGAUGCCACCUUUAGAGGAAGGAAUGGCAGUGUGUGGAAAAAAAGUCCACAGCUAAUACACUAUUGGAGAACAGCCAAGGACGUAGUCCAUGAAAGUGCCAAACCAACAAGAGAAAAUAAUAAAGACACAGUGAUGGAAAUGUUCCACAUGUUUUUUUCAAAGAUAUCCUGCCUGCUAUCAUAAGAGAGACAAACAGAGAGGCAGAAAGAAGAUCGAGGGACUGGAAUGACAGCCAUCCUGAAAAUAGGAAGGAGUGUAAAAAGCUGGAUGAAAGAGCUGAAAGCCUACCGUGGCCUCCUACUGCUGAGUGGUCUAUACCAUGGUGGUCAUGAGGCACUGGAAGAGUCAUGGGAGCAACACACUGGGUGUCCUUGCUUCUGUGUCACCAUGAGUUUAAAACAAUUCUGUCAAAUCACUAUGUACCUGAGAUUUGACAACAAUCUAACGUGAGGAAAGGAUAGCUGUGGGCAAGCUUGCUGCCUUCAGAGAUAUUUAGACACAAUUUGUGAAGCAGCUCAGGAAAUAGUAUAUUCUAGGAAUACACCUGAUGGUUGAUGAGCAGUUCAUUGUGUUCAGGGGUCGCUGUCUUUUCAGAUAGUAUAUGCCCAGCAAGCCUGCCAAAUAUGGCUUGAAAAUGUGGUGGUAUUGUGAUGUAGCAACAUCAUUCCCUGUGUCUGGAGACAUCUACCUGGGCAAGCAACCAGAAGCUUCACGCCAAGGUAAUUUUGGUACCCAGGUUGUUGAAAACCUGGUUCAUCCCUGGUACAAGACGGGAAGGAAUAUUGUGAGUGACAAUUUCUUCACAAGUACUGACCUGGCAGAAAGACUGCUACAGCAGGUCUUGGUACGAUUUGGAAAAAAAAGGCCGAUAUCCCAAACAAAAUGCAAGCAAAUCAAAGAAAGGAAACUUUUUCAUCCAUUUUUGCUUUUGAUGGGGAACUCACCCUAGUUUCCUAUGUUUCAAAGAAGCCCAAAGUUGUGCUGUAACUGUCAAGCAUGCACCAUGACCUGUCAGUGAGCGGACAGCAAAGAAAGCCAGACAUCAUCCAUGACUACAAUAAAAACAAGGGUGGGGUGGAUAUCCUUGACCACUUUGUCUGUAUGACCAGCUGCAGAUGGAAAAGAUCAACAGGUGGCCAAUGACACUAUUUUUCAGUAUGAAGGAUGUGGCUGCCAUUGCCAGCCUCAUCAUUUGGCUAGGCCACAACGCAAACUGGAAGCAAAGAUCACAUUUAAGAAAAUGGUGCUUUUUGUUUUGCAGGAGCUUGGAGAACAGUUGAUCAAUGGACAAAUAAAACGAAGAAUGAUGGAUACAUGUAAUCUGUCUAAGUCCAUCAAGUCUGGUAUGACUGCCCUAAAUUACAAAUUGCCACAACACCCCAGUAGAAUCUUCUACAAGCAUGAGUGGACAUUGUGCUUUUUGUCCAAGGACAGAUGACCGCAAAACCUAGAAACAAUGUGAACAUUGUAAGCGAUUGGCUUGUGUACACCACAGUAUCACCGGUGGUUUGUGAGGAAUGCAAUAUUUAGUUAAAACAGUUAGGAAAUGUUUUUGGAAGUAAUUGUUAGUUUGAAAACAGUGUGAACUGCAGACUUAGCAAAUUGUUCAUUCACAUUUUGAAACUAAAAAAAGUUUAAAUGUUGUUCAUAGUUCUAGUUAAAUAUUAUUUUAGGUUGAAAUCACCAUAAAUACUCUUUCAAACAAUCUGUAUGUUUAAUAAAUAGUUUUUGGUACAUUUA